GCUCUAGUGGCCUGGUGGUUAGAGCGUCCGCCUCGGAUGCGGGAGAUCGUGGGUUCGGUCCCAGGUCAAGUCAUACCAAAGACU